GACGAACGCUGGCGGCGUGCUUAACACAUGCAAGUCGAACGGAAAGGCCCUGCUUUUGUGGGGUGCUCGAGUGGCGAACGGGUGAGUAACACGUGAGUAACCUGCCCUUGACUUUGGGAUAACUACAGGAAACUGGGGCUAAUACCGGAUAGGAGCUCCUGCUGCAUGGUGGGGGUUGGAAAGUUUCGGCGGUUGGGGAUGGACUCGCGGCUUAUCAGCGUGGUGGUGGGGUAGUGGCUUACCAAGGCUUUGACGGGUAGCCGGCCUGAGAGGGUGACCGGCCACAUUGGGACUGAGAUACGGCCCAGACUCCUACGGGAGGCAGCAGUGGGGAAUAUUGCACAAUGGGCGGAAGCCUGAUGCAGCAACGCCGCGUGCGGGAUGACGGCCUUCGGGUUGUAAACCGCUUUCGCCUGUGACGAAGCGUGAGUGACGGUAAUGGGUAAAGAAGCACCGGCUAACUACGUG
rnacentral:rRNA from 1 species